CACGUAGGCGGAUCGUUAAGUGAGGGUGAAAUCCCGGGGCUCAACCCCGGAACUGCCUUUCAUACUGGCGAUCUGGAGUUCGAGAGAGGUGAGUGGAAUUCCGAGUGUAGAGGUGAAAUUCGUAGAUAUUCGGAGGAACACCAGUGGCGAAGGCGGCUCACUGGCUCGAUACUGACGCUGAGGUGCGAAAGCGUGGGGAGCAAACA
rnacentral:rRNA from 1 species